AGGACUUGAUAGCGACAGUGGAUAGACAGUCCUUCACAAGUCCUCGGUAUCCCCUAAAUGGGCCUCCCCCGGGUACAAUUUGCGAAUAUAGAAUUCAGGCGGAGGAUCCAUCCCAAAGGGUCAAACUCAUCAUGUACAGGUUCAGUGUAAACGAACCGAGCUAUUUCCGCAUCAACCUCAGCGGCGACAAAUUGUUCAGCGAAUCGACUGUGGUCAGGGAGGUGUCCCCGGCGUCCGCCACGUACUACAUCUCCGAGGGCGACGUCUUAAGGAUCUUCUUCUACGGCGAGGCCAACACUCGGGGCUUCAAGCUCAGAUACAAAAUGGUUCCAUAGAGAGCGACAGACCCUCGCAAGGGCGCCAUUUAUCUAUCUUCACAAAUAUACGUAAACACACACACACACACACACGCACACGAACACACAUAUACACACACACGCACACGCACACACAUAUACACACACA